rnacentral:rRNA from 1 species
UACGUAGGUGGCGAGCGUUAUCCGGAAUGAUUGGGCGUAAAGGGUGCGUAGGCGGCCUGCUAAGUCUGGAGUGAAAGGUACCGGCUCAACCGGUACAGGCUCUGGAAACUGGCGGGCUAGAGAGCAGGAGAGGGCGGUGGAACUCCAUGUGUAGCGGUAAAAUGCGUAGAUAUUUGGAAGAACACCAGUGGCGAAGGCGAUUCUCUGGACUGUAACUGACGCUGAGGCUCGAAAGCGUGGGGAGCAAACAGG